rnacentral:tRNA from 2 species
UCGGGAUAGCUCAGCCGGUAGAGCA